GACGAACGCUGGCGGCGUGCUUAACACAUGCAAGUCGAGCGGUAAGGCCCUUCGGGGUACACGAGCGGCGAACGGGUGAGUAACACGUGGGUAAUCUGCCCUGCACUCUGGGAUAAGCCCGGGAAACUGGGUCUAAUACCGGAUAUGACUUCCAGCCGCAUGGCUGGGGGUGGAAAGUUCCGGCGGUGCAGGAUGAACCCGCGGCCUAUCAGCUUGUUGGUGGGGUAAUGGCCUACCAAGGCGACGACGGGUAGCCGGCCUGAGAGGGCGACCGGCC
rnacentral:rRNA from 1 species